AUGUUACAAUUUUAAGAGGCUUGAAGA
rnacentral:piRNA from 1 species